rnacentral:tRNA from 1 species
GCGGAUAUAGUACAUCGGUAGUACAUGAGCUUCCCAAGCUUAGGAGGCGGGUCCGACUCCCGUUAUCCGCU